rnacentral:rRNA from 1 species
AUGCCCGAGCCGCGGGAGCUAUGUCUGAGCCCUACUUCGCCAUUGUUCGUGGAGCAUUUGGAGGUUGACUCCUCGAUGACCUCGUGUGCGGGACAUGUUUCGCCUCUGUCAUCUAAGCAACUGAAGGUGCAUGAGUCCAUCAUGUCGGUCGACCCUACGGUUGAUGAUGUCGUGUCGAUGGUUCCUCUAGUUGAAGAUGUCGAUGCAGCUGGUGUGUUGAUGUUGGCUCCUCGGAGCCUUUUGGUGGACGACAUUGACACCCAAAAAUUUGAGGAGUUUUAUGAUUUUCUUGACAAAUGGGUGGCAGAUCAGCCUCAAUCUAGCAGGACAAGUGGUUGCCCCUCAAAGGAGAAGCCAGGCAGGGAGAAAGCAAAGAGGAACAAAAGUAAGAAAAGUGGCGCCAUUCGAAAGGCGUCCAUGGUUUCAUGA